UACAGAGGUCUCAAGCGUUGUUCGGAUUCAUUGGGCGUAAAGGGUGUGUAGGUGGCGCCGUAAGUCGGGUGUGAAAUUUCGGAGCUUAACUCCGAAACUGCAUUCGAUACUGCGGUGCUUGAGGACUGGAGAGGAGACUGGAAUUCAUGGUGUAGCAGUGAAAUGCGUAGAUAUCUGCAGGAACACCCGUGGCGAAAGCGGCGCGCUGGACCACUACUGACGCUGAGGAACGAAAGCUAGGGGAGCAAACAGG
rnacentral:rRNA from 1 species